UCUUUUGAGCAUAAUUAUCCUGCAUUGCCAGAGCCAUAUCCCCCAGCACUUCUUGCCUGGUUCCCCACUGAAACUAAGCAGGGUUGAACCUGGCCAGUACCUGGAUGGGAGACCUCCUGGGAAAAACUACUGUAAGAU
rnacentral:rRNA from 1 species